CCUACGGGGGGCUGCAGUGGGGAAUAUUGGACAAUGGGCGAAAGCCUGAUCCAGCCAUGCCGCGUGUGUGAAGAAGGCCUUCGGGUUGUAAAGCACUUUCAGUGGGGAAGAAAGCCUUGGGGCUAAUACCCUCGAGGAAGGACAUCACCCACAGAAGAAGCACCGGCUAACUCCGUGCCAGCAGCCGCGGUAAUACGGAGGGUGCGAGCGUUAAUCGGAAUUACUGGGCGUAAAGCGCGCGUAGGCGGUCUGAUAAGCCGGUUGUGAAAGCCCCGGGCUCAACCUGGGAACGGCAUCCGGAACUGUCAGGCUAGAGUGCAGGAGAGGAAGGUAGAAUUCCCGGUGUAGCGGUGAAAUGCGUAGAGAUCGGGAGGAAUACCAGUGGCGAAGGCGGCCUUCUGGACUGACACUGACGCUGAGGUGCGAAAGCGUGGGUAGCAAACAGGAUUAGAUACCCCGGUAUC
rnacentral:rRNA from 1 species